UACGUAGGGGGCGAGCGUUGUCCGGAUUUACUGGGCGUAAAGCGCGCGUAGGCGGUCGUUCAAGUCGCGUGUGAAAGCCCCCGGCUCAACUGGGGAGGGUCACGCGAUACUGAUCGACUCGAAGGCAGGAGAGGGUAGUGGAAUUCCCGGUGUAGUGGUGAAAUGCGUAGAUAUCGGGAGGAACACCAGUGGCGAAGGCGACUACCUGGCCUGUUCUUGACGCUGAGGCGCGAAAGCUAGGGGAGCAAACGGG
rnacentral:rRNA from 1 species